rnacentral:rRNA from 1 species
AGUGAACGCUGGCGGCAGGCCUAAUACAUGCAAGUCGAACGGCAGCACAGCAGAGCUUGCUCUGUGGGUGGCGAGUGGCGGACGGGUGAGGAAUACAUGGGAAUCUGCCCAGUCGUGGGGGAUAACGUAGGGAAACUUACGCUAAUACCGCAUGCGCCCUUCGGGGGAAAGCCGGGGACCGUAAGGCCUGGCGCGAUUGGAUGAGCCCAUGUCGGAUUAGCUAGUUGGCGGGGUAAAGGCCCACCAAGGCGACGAUCCGUAGCUGGUCUGAGAGGAUGAUCAGCCACACUGGAACUGAGACACGGUCCAGACUCCUACGGGAGGCAGCAGUAGGGAAUAUUGGACAAUGGGCGCAAGCCUGAUCCAGCCAUGCCGCGUGAGUGAAGAAGGCCCUCGGGUUGUAAAGCUCUUUGUCCGGAAAGAAAAGCGCCGGGUUAAUACCCUGGUGUCCUGACGGUACCGGAAGAAUAAGCACCGGCUAACUUCGUGCCAGCAGCCGCGGUAAUC